CAUAUACUCCCUCUGUCCCAUAUUAAGUGCCAAAAUAUUACAUGUAUUUAGACGUAUUUUAAUAUAUAGAUAUAAAUAUGUCUAUUUUUAGACAAAAUUGAGUCACUUAAUAUGGAACGGAGGAAGUAUCAA
rnacentral:pre_miRNA from 1 species